UACAGAGGGGGCAAGCGUUGUUCGGAAUUACUGGGCGUAAAGGGCGCGUAGGCGGCCUGCUAAGUCGAACGUGAAAUCCCUGGGCUCAACCCAGGAACUGCGUCCGAUACUGGUUGGCUUGAAUCCGGGAGAGGGAUGUGGAAUUCCAGGUGUAGCGGUGAAAUGCGUAGAUAUCUGGAGGAACACCGGUGGCGAAGGCGACAUCCUGGACCGGUAUUGACGCUGCGGAGCGAAAGCCAGGGGAGCAAACGGG
rnacentral:rRNA from 1 species